rnacentral:lncRNA from 1 species
UGAGAUUUCAGUAUUGAAUGAUAUAUAUCAAACUGAUAUUCAGUUUGAACCAAUAAGUAAAAAAAUACAAAAUCUUCCUUAUGCAAGACAGAAGGUCAGUGAGUGCCAUUGAAGGGAAAGCCAAGGAGUGCCCUUCUCUGCAAGGGCUGAUCCAUUAACACACUUACAGCCAGCAAGGCUGCUUGGUCAGUGGUGCAAAGUAAACUUGAUGCAGCACACGAUACCCACUUUCUCCCGACACUCGUCUCUCGCAUCCUGUAUCUCUAACUAAUGUGAAAUUGUACCCUUGAUCUUUAGCCCAUUGUAGUGAAAAUGCUAAGUCACAGCUUGAACCAGUGAUGGAGCACCUGGUGGGAAGGCAGGGCCAAGCCAGGGGAGCUCAGGUGCAUGCAAUGUACCUGAGUGGCUGGAAGAAGUGGAGCCAGGAUCCACCCCUUCCCAGACCUCAUUUAAGAGCUGGCAGUGGAAGGAAGAGUAACUUGCUGGAUGUCCCUGCAUACUAGAGGUCUUUUGAAGGUAAGCAGUUUCUUUCCUUUAUUUUUGUGCCUAUGGCUGUUGCAUUUGAGCAAACCCUCACUUGCUGCAGCCUGGGACCUUGCUAAUCUGCUGUCAUUGCUGUGUUACAUCCAUCAAUUGCAGAGUUGCAUGAUCACACGCCCACAUAAGAUCUUGGUCAAGCUCAGAUGGCAUUUAGAGGCUGCACAUGACUCCAGGAAUCUGACUAUGCAGAUAAUGGAGAAAUAUAGACCUUCACCAAGUGAGAGCUCAUCCUAAAUAGAUGUGUGAGUGGAUAACGUAGAAGGACUUAUACUUUUCAGCUGUGUAAGAAAUUCUAAGGUAAAAUACUCAAAUUUGUUAUCAUAAAGCAAUCUCGUAUGUAAUGCAAGUAACCGUUGCCUUGUUGCUCUAUGUAUCUUGUCACGCUCAGCAAAGAGAUGGAUUCGGAUGGGAUGUUCAUCUCUGCUUUGUGUCACUGUAGAGGGUAACCUUAACAACUAGGAAACCUUUUUCUCUUUGCCAAAAUUCUGUGUGCUCUGACCAUACAUAGCACCUCUGCUGAAGAAGGGCACUGCUCUUUCUCUUGUCAAACCAUUUUGCAAGGCAGCCCACUCUCAAGAAAGCUGAACUAGUGUUAAGUCUGGAGCAAGGUCAUCAGCCCACACCCAGGUAAUCUGAAAAAACAAACAGGCAAUAUAUUUGGUCAGAAAUCGUCUUAUAAUAAUUCACAUGAUGAUAUAGAUCUGCUUUUUUUUUUUUUUGCUUUCGGCCUUUCAGUGCAGUAUAAUGGAUCAAUAAGAAGAAAUUGUGGAUUUGUUUAUUUAUUUAUUGCCUUAGGAAAAAUAAAGUUUUCUUUCCACCUGUAUCUGUGGAAAUA